rnacentral:rRNA from 1 species
UACGUAGGUGGCGAGCGUUGUCCGGAUUUACUGGGCGUAAAGGGAGCGUAGGCGGACUUUUAAGUGAGAUGUGAAAUACCCGGGCUCAACUUGGGUGCUGCAUUUCAAACUGGAAGUCUAGAGUGCAGGAGAGGAGAAUGGAAUUCCUAGUGUAGCGGUGAAAUGCGUAGAGAUUAGGAAGAACACCAGUGGCGAAGGCGGGUAACUGGACUGCAACUGACGCCGAGGCGCGAAAGUGUGGGGAGCAAACAGGAUUAGAUACCCCGUAGUCCCUGA